AAGUCCCCUGCCCUUUGUACACACCGCCCGUCGCUACUACCGAUUGAAUGGCUUAGUGAGGCCUCCGGAUUGGUUUAGGAAAGGGGGCAACUCCACUUCUGGAACCGAGAAGCUGGUCAAACUUGGUCAUUUAGAGGAAGUAAAAGUCGUAACAAGGUUUCCGUAGGUGAACCUGCGGAAGGAUCAUUACUGAUUUGCUUAAUUGCACCACAUGUGUUUUCUAUUAUUAUGAAACUUUCUUUGGCGGUGAGACGUAAAACUCACGCCGCCAGAGGUUUACUAAAACUAAAUUUAAAUAUUUUGUCAUUUUUUGUUAUUAUUUAUUUAAUAGUCAAAACUUUCAACAACGGAUCUCUUGGUUCUCGCAUCGAUGAAGAACGCAGCGAAAUGCGAUACGUAAUAUGAAUUGCAGAUAUUCGUGAAUCAUCGAAUCUUUGAACGCACAUUGCGCCCUCUGGUAUUCCAGAGGGCAUGCCUGUUUGAGCGUCAUUUCUCCCUCAAACCCUUGGGUUUGGUGUUGAGCAAUACGCGAUACGGUUUGUUUGAAAUAUAGUAAUGUACCGACGUAAACGACUUAGGUCUAACCAAAAACGUUUUCUUUGGGUACUCAUGCUUGUCAACAUUGACCUCAAAUCAGGUAGACGGC
rnacentral:rRNA from 1 species